UCUCUUUCUAAGUCCAUUCUCAGCUCAAACUGACAACAUGCUCGUGACUCUCUCUGUUCUCAUCACUGCUCUAACAUGUGUGAGUGGUGUGACGGUGCUGACACAGAAACCUCCUGUUGUAUCAGUGAGGAAAGGAGAGACAGCCACCAUGGACUGUGACCUGGGGACUGUUACUGACAGUGCUGCUCGGUGGUAUAAACAGAUUCCAGGAGGAGUUCCUCAGUUUAUGCUGAGGUUUUAUCAUAGCUCAAGUUCUCCAACCUAUGGCUCUGGGUUCUCUGCUCCAAAAUUCACAUCCACUCAUCAGUCAACAUCAGAUUAUCGUUUGAUCAUCAACAAUGUGGAGGAGGGAGACUCUGCAGUCUAUUACUGUCAGACAUGGGAUGACUCUGCCAAGAAGUGGGUUUCAGGUGUGAGUGGUGUGACGGUGCUGACACAGAAACCUCCUGUUUUAUCGGUGAGCAAAGGAGACACAGCCACCGGGGACUGUUACUAA